rnacentral:rRNA from 1 species
AACGUCCUGUUUGUGCUGACGGACACUGACGGACACACACGGACACACACAGACAGCCACGGCGUCCUGUGUGUGCUGGCGGACACCCACGGACGUCCUGUUUGUACUGGAAGAGAAACGUCGAUACAACACUUGUCCAUGCAUUCUUGUAUAUCCUUUGAUGCUAUCUCCCGAAGACCGUAGCAAACUCAGUUCAUGUUUUCCGCCAAUCUAAAUCGUCGAUCAAACUUUGUGGUUAAAACCGCGGAAAGUUCGUUCUUUAUUGAAAGAAGUCUCAGUAAACGCUUUGAAUCGGAAGACGGCCCAAAGGGAACUAAGACACGACUCAAGGCCCAUCCUACGAUUUCUUAACCAAAAGCCCGUAAACCAUAGCACGGUUUACGCUUGGCGCGCAAGGAAGGAUAAAUAUCAAGUUUCCACGGAUAAAUACGAAAUUUUGAGGAUAAAUACGAAGAUCGGAGAAAAUGGAAUAUCUCCAUUUUAUGCUAUGAUGGCUUAAGGGCAGAAGAGUAAAAGCGUAAACCGACCUUGGAGCGAGUAUAUAAGGAGUCCUAGGCGAGAGGCAUAAAAGGGAGAACUUUUCCGAGCAAACAUAGCACUUAGAGCAAUUUAGGCAUAUUUCCGUUUUUGUUAUUCGAGCUGCGACUGAAUUAGGUUAUUGCCGUCUUAAGGUUUUAAAACUAGGAAUCUCGCCAACAGCUCUCGUAGCCCAAGCACUUACCUUGUUGUAACGCUCAAACGCAAAUUCGGAAUAAGAUCUACUGCGAUUUCUUAUAAUUUAUUGUCGUUAUUCUCGUGUUCUGAUUGCUUGACGUGUGGUAUUAGCAGAUAUCCGGGACCUCUGGGAAAUUAGGGUAUUCUUAGUUUCCUUAUUUUAACAGAAAUCGACAGUGCAAAUUUCGGUUCCCACACUCAUAACCGCAUCAGGUCUCCAAGGUGAACAUCCUCUGGUCGAUGGAACAAUGUAGGCAAGGGAAGUCGGCAAAAUGGAUCUGUAACUUCGGGAAAAGGAUUGGCUCUGAGGGCUGGGCUCGGGGGUUCCAGUUCCUAACCCGUUGAUUGUUGGCGGGCUGCUUGAGCUGCUAACGUGGCGAGAGCGGACUGCCUCGUGUCGGCCAGGGGACGGACUGGGAACGACUCUUUCGGAAUCUUUCCCCGGGCGUCGAACAGCCAACUCAGAACUGGUACGGACAAGGGGAAUCCGACUGUUUAACUAAAACAAAGCAUUGCGAUGGUCCCUACGGAUGCUAACGCAAUGUGAUUUCUGCCGAGUGCUCUGAAUGUCAAAGUGAAGAAAUUCAACCAAGCACGGGUAAAUGGCGAGAGUAACUAUGACUCUCUUAAGGUAGCCAAAUGCCUCGUCAUCUAAUUAGUGAUACGCAUGAAUGGAUUAACGAGAUUCCCACUGUCCCUGUCUACUAUCCAGCGAAACCACAGCCAAGGGAACGGGCUUGGCAGAAUCAGCGGGGAAAGAAGACCCUGUAGAGCUUGACUCUAGUCCGACUUUGUGAAAUGACUUGAGAGGUGUAGAAUAACUGGGAGCUCCGGCGCAAGUGAAAUACCACUACUUUUAACGUUAUUUUACUUACUCCGUGAAUCGGAGGCGGGGUAAAAGCUAAACGAGAACAUAAAUCUCGUGUGGAACAAAAGGGUAAAAGCUCGUUUGAUUCUGAUUUUCAGUACGAAUACAAACCGUGAAAGCGUGGCCUAUCGAUCCUUUAGACCUUUUGAAUGGGGCAGCCAAGCGUUCAUAGCGACGGUUCUUUUUGAGCUUUCGAUGUCGGCUCUUCGUAUCAUUGUGAAGCAGAAUUCACCAAGUGUUGGAUUGUUCACCCACCAAUAGGGAACGUGAGCUGGGUUUAGACCAUCACGAGACAUGUUAGUUUUACCCUACUGAUGCCCGCCUCGCAAUAGUAAUUCAACCUAGCACGAGAGGAACCGUUGAUUCGCACAAUUGGUCAUCGCGCUUGGUUGAAAAGCCAGUGGCGCGAAGCUACCGUGCGCUGGAUUAUGACUGAACUCCUCUAAGUCAGAAUCUGGGCUAGAAGUGACGCAUGCACCCGCCGCCCAAUUGCCGACCAUCAGUAGGAGCUUCGGCUCCCAAAGGCACGUGUCGUUGGCUAAGUCUGUUUGGCGGAAGCGCCGUUCGGACCGCCUUGAAUUAUAAUUACCACCGAGCGGCAGGUAGAAUCCUUUGCAGAUGACUUAAAUACGCGACGGGGUAUUGUAAGUGGCUGAGUGGCCUUGCUGCCACGAUCCACUGAGAUUCUCCCUUUGU